AUGCAUCGCCUCUUUGCAUCUCCCAAAGGGAACAUAAAUGUUCCGCACUUUAUAUGGCAUGAGAUCCGCCUCGCUAGUCUUCAGCACAAGAGGGCCUUUCCUCAUGCCCCCUUUCUUCAGGAUUUUAUCGAGAGUGUCGCUUCUUUUCCCAUUGCCCGCACUCACGUGCAUGUGCGAUGGGUCAUUCCAGCUCACAUGGCGGCUGAUGACGUUCCUCCUACUGCUCCUGCUCGUCGCACCGCAGCUAGUGUUCCUUCUCAUGCUGCCCGUUCUCCUUCCAGUUAUGCACCCUUUGGGCGCAUUGCACGCUUUCUUGGGAAGGCUCACUCUGCAAUGAUGAAGAUGUUCACCUUUCAUUGCUCCCAACAUCACGAUGUUGUCACUCGCAUGGUCACUUCCAAGAACGCUCGGAAGGCUCGUUUGAGAGACUCCGGAGUGUAUGAUGUGAGUGAUGAUGAACGCCUUCCUGACGAGCCUCCUUCUGAUUUUGGUUUCCCCUCGGGUCCUGAGUGGGCUGAUUUCUUCGACGAGGCGGGUGGCAGUGGUCCUCAUGAUGAUGAUGAUGAUGAUGAGGAUGAUCUCUGA
rnacentral:rRNA from 1 species